rnacentral:rRNA from 1 species
GAUGAACGCUGGCGGCGUGCCUAAUACAUGCAAGUCGAGCGAAUGGAUUAAGAGCUUGCUCUUAUGAAGUUAGCGGCGGACGGGUGAGUAACACGUGGGUAACCUGCCCAUAAGACUGGGAUAACUCCGGGAAACCGGGGCUAAUACCGGAUAACAUUUUGAACCGCAGGGUUCGAAAUUGAAAGGCGGCUUAGGCUGUCACUUAUGGAUGGACCCGCGUCGCAUUAGCUAGUUGGUGAGGUAACGGCUCAACAAGGCAACGAUGCGUAGCCGACCUGGGAGGGUGAUCGGCCACACUGGGAAUGAGACACGGCCCAGACUCCUACGGGAGGCAGCAGUAGGGAAUCUUCCGCAAUGGACGAAAGUCUGACGGAGCAACGCCGCGUGAGUGAUGAAGGCUUUCGGGUCGUAAAACUCUGUUGUUAGGGAAGAACAAGUGCUAGUUGAAUAAGCUGGCACCUUGACGGUACCUAACCAGAAAGCCACGGCUAACUACGUGCCAGCAGCCGCAGUAA